CAUUAUUAUCCUCAUCUUCAUCAUCAGUAGGAUUAGGAUCAUAACUAACAGUAGUUUCAUUUUCAAAUAAAGCUGUCUCAGCCAUUACAGUUCCCAAUCCUCCUAGUCCGGCACGUGUUGUACGUGGCUAAUUAAGUGAGACAGGAUCAGAUUCGUGCUCCAUGUGCUCCAUGGUAGCUGUCGCAUAACUAAAACUGACACCCGC
rnacentral:lncRNA from 1 species